rnacentral:rRNA from 1 species
GACGGAGGGGGCUAGCGUUGUUCGGAAUUACUGGGCGUAAAGAGCGUGUAGGUGGUUUAACAAGUUGGAAGUGAAAGCCCGGGGCUUAACCUCGGAAUUGCUUUCAAAACUGUUAGACUAGAGUGUAGUAGGGGAUGAUGGAAUUCCUAGUGUAGAGGUGAAAUUCUUAGAUAUUAGGAGGAACACCGGUGGCGAAAGCGAUCAUCUGGGCUACAACUGACACUGAGACGCGAAAGCGUGGGGAGCAAACAGG